rnacentral:rRNA from 1 species
GACGAACGCUGGCGGCGUGCCUAAUACAUGCAAGUCGAACGCUUCUUUCCUCCCGAGUGCUUGCACUCAAUUGGAAAGAGGAGUGGCGGACGGGUGAGUAACACGUGGGUAACCUACCCAUCAGAGGGGGAUAACACUUGGAAACAGGUGCUAAUACCGCAUAACAGUUUAUGCCGCAUGGCAUAAGAGUGAAAGGCGCUUUCGGGUGUCGCUGAUGGAUGGACCCGCGGUGCAUUAGCUAGUUGGUGAGGUAACGGCUCACCAAGGCCACGAUGCAUAGCCGACCUGAGAGGGUGAUCGGCCACACUGGGACUGAGACACGGCCCAGACUCCUACGGGAGGCAGCAGUAGGGAAUCUUCGGCAAUGGACGAAAGUCUGACCGAGCAACGCCGCGUGAGUGAAGAAGGUUUUCGGAUCGUAAACCUCUGUUGUUAGAGAAGAACAAGGACGUUAGUAACUGAACGUCCCCUGACGGUAUCUAACCAGAAAGCCACGGCUAACUACGUG